GUGAAAUCUCUGGAAAAGUCUCAAUAGUGGGCGAUUCCGAGAUAUCGACGGCAUUGGAGACGGUUUAUGCGGAAGUAUACCGCAAUGUAGCAAAAGAAGCGGCGGCGCAGAUCAUGGUUUCGUGGACUAAAGGUUGGAGAAAGCGAGAUGCGAUAACUUUGGGCUCAGAUUCGAGAAGCAGAAGUUGUAGCGAAGGUCAAAGAUAUUGGAUAAGAGUUGCGAGAAAUUCAGGAUAGAUUGGAUAAAGUAAUGAACAGGAAUCAACAUACGUAAAUGAGAAAAAUUAGCAGGACAUAUUGCUACUAAGAAAGACAUGACAUUACAGCCUCUGAACUCUCUUGGUUAUGGUGAGUCCACGGUUAUUUUAAGUGGUUCUCCUCUGGAACAGCAGCUCAUUUCUUGUGAAAUGGACAUGUCAGUUAAGUGCAAGCUUAAAAGCACCAGUGAUACUGACUUUGCCUUCAUUGAAAGAAGAGGCAAAGAAUCAGAACCUUUAAAAUGGAUGCCUCGCAUGAAAUACAUGAGAAGACCUGAGCGACAUGACCAAACGUGUGUGUUGAUAAUAAUUUGAAAGUGGUGCAGACAGAUUAUACUGUUAUCAGAGUGACUUUUCAGAAAAUGAAAAGAAUACUGAAACAUAGGAUAAAAUAUUCUCUUCUAAACAGGCCAUUUUUUUCAGUGGCUAUCAGAAUUAUACGGAGUAUCAGUCUUUCAUUUCUCCAAAAUUCCAUUAUUAACAGUGGAAAGCCACCAGAUGAUUCCUUCUUGAUGAUGAUCACGAUAAUGAUACUCAGAAGAACGGAACUAGAGAAGAUAAAAUUAUCGACAGGAUUUGCACAAUACCUUCAACAGAUGAAAAGUUGCAUUUUCCAUGGGAGAUGAAAAGGCUGAAGCAAUACAUAUACCUUCUGCUAAGAAGAUUUCGGACGUAUCGAAAAUAUGCAGGUGAAGGUAACAGUAUUAUGCCAGUUUCCAGAACAUGGAGAAGUUACAGAAAAGAAGAGCUCUCCAAACUCCAAAGCAUGUUCUUCACUAGUGAGGCCAUGGACACACAUCCUGCACCGGUUCUUCAUUGAUCUGGAAUUCCGUUUGUAGACAACUCUAAUCAACCUGGAGAGAGUUUACCAAUCAUGAAUGAAAUUGGUAGUCAGAAACAUUGUUUAAUUCCGUUAAAUUUUAGUGUUCUAUCGGAAAAGGAUGAAGUGUUUGCAACACAUGAAGAUGCUGAAAGUGAUAUUGGAAUGCAUGCUUCUCAACAAAUGACGAUGUGGUCGUAGUUGAGUUGGACAUGCGCAGCCCGGAAAUUUUGUCCUUCAACCUUUUGACUCCGGCUUGCGGAAGUGAUACCGAAACUGUUAAAGGCUUGUUAUCUUAGUUUGAAAGGUCUGCUUCUGAUUUGAAUGAUGACUCCCACAGACAACCUAUAAAUAUUUACGUUCUUAAGCACGCAAUUUGUAGAAAGCACAAAGACUUGCCAGUUAAUUCAGACGGUAAUUCAUCUCGUAACGAGAGCAUUUAAAGAGGAAUGAGGAGCAAAGGAAUGGUUUUGAAGAGACUUAAAAUUGAAGCUUCAUGGUUGAAUUAUCUAAAGAUAGUCGGCAACCAGCACAUUUUGCACAUCAGUUUCAGAUUUGACGCCUUUGUGCAAGUAAGAAGACAAGAGUGCAAGAUCACAGCCUAAAGUGAGCAUCUUUCCCCCGUUUGGCGGCAAAGUUAGUGGCAGACCACAAGGCCUUCAAAAUAUUGUCCGUAGAGCAUGCCUCUGCAAUUGCCUUGUGUUCUUUUAUUUCACGGAUCAUUGCUGCUCUCUUAUUACAGAAAUGGUGUAGGUUUCUUUAAUAUAGCGUAUGUUAGUUAAAAACCUACGUAUGAACCAGAGAAUAGCAUUGUAUUGACGAAGUCAGUCACUGUAGGCGAGAAUAGGGAAGAAAUGAUUUGAACCAAGGUAAAAUGAUUUCGAAUGAUAGGUGGAAAUGGGAAAAGCAGUACAUCCUCUCAUCUUUUCAGAUCAGUUUGAUGUGACACGACAAGUGCGGAAGACUUCAAACUCAAAUUUUGUAAUGUAAAUGAAUGUAUGUAACGUGUACUAUACUAUUAUGUGAAUCUAUAAAAUUAGAGGGCGGAAUUUGUGACUAAAUAUAAGCAUGUAUGCAAAUACAAAUUUGAAGAAAUCGUAAUCCAUAGUGUCUUGAUUAGAUGUUGAGAGAAUUAAAACUAAAAUGAUCAGAAUGAUUAAAUGCAUUAUGACAUUUGCUAUUACCUUUUUCUUUAUAGGUCUCGAAUUACUCCACCAUUAUACUGUAAUAUAAAAUUUUCAAUGCACGUAUAAAAGGCUAAAAAUUAUAGAAAAACAUCAUAAUCAUCACCCAGAUAUUUGUACUCUUUUUCACUUCAAGAAAUGUUUCAACCAACUGAAGAGACCUCGUCACCCCCCGGAGAGUAAGUGUAAAGGGAAGUGAAAAGGCCUUGUCUUCUGGUUCCUAUGUACAUAUCAAUAAUCACCCUCUCUAUAUUAGGAUAUUUGGCAUUUCGGUAAUAUACUCCUUUUUUUUUUUUUUCCAAUUUCAAUCAAAUUCCAAAAAAAAAAA